rnacentral:rRNA from 1 species
CAGCCGCCGCGGUAAUACGUAGGUCCCGAGCGUUGUCCGGAUUUAUUGGGCGUAAAGCGAGCGCAGGCGGUUAGAUAAGUCUGAAGUUAAAGGCUGUGGCUUAACCAUAGUACGCUUUGGAAACUGUUUAACUUGAGUGCAGAAGGGGAGAGUGGAAUUCCAUGUGUAGCGGUGAAAUGCGUAGAUAUAUGGAGGAACACCGGUGGCGAAAGCGGCUCUCUGGUCUGUAACUGACGCUGAGGCUCGAAAGCGUGGGGAGCAAACAGGAUUAGAUACCCCGGUAGUCCCUGUCUCUUAUACA